AAGAAACAGCUGCUAAAUGGCGCAGCACAACUGUUUUCACGUUUGCUAACAGCAUUGUUCAGUGAUCAACACACUCAUACGCCCACUGGUUCCGAAGUAGAUAUUCGGAUAUGAAAGGCAGCAUUGCCGCUCUAUUUCUUUUCCUGGUUUCCGCAGUGGAGUCAAGAACCUGCCCGGUAGGCCAAGUGUACACAAUGUGUCCGCCGGACGGGAUUCUGCGAGAAAACAUGUGUCCUGGUUCAAUCAUCAAGUACUGUGUAAUAGAGAACCCCACCUGCCUAUGCCCACCUGGCACCUGGCGACUGCUGAACCAGCACUGCGGGCGAAGGGAGGAUUGUGAAAAGUGACGUUGACUAUGUCACCUUUGGCUCCUGCAGGUUUAAAAAGAAGGAAAUAAGAUACGUCACACUAAUGGAGGCUACGAGAAGAUCCGAUUUCUAUCCCGUUGUCUGCUGCACUGAGAUUUCAAGCUCAAUAAGUUGUAAAUACUUCUCAGCGAAUUAUAUACCAUGUGCAUACCAAUAUGACCGAAGAAUAAACGAGUCAUCGUAUG